GAUGUGAGGAGUGUGCUAGGUAGG
rnacentral:misc_RNA from 1 species